GCUUACGGCCAUACCACCCUGAGCGCACCCGAUCUCGUCUGAUCUCGGAAGCUAAGCAGGGUCGGGCCUGGUUAGUACUUGGAUGGGAGACCGCCUGGGAAUACCAGGUGCUGUAAGCU
ensembl:rRNA 5S_rRNA 5S ribosomal RNA